rnacentral:tRNA from 1 species
GGUGUUGUAGCUCAGGGAAAGAGCACUUGCCUAGCAUGUAUGAGGCACUGGAUUCAAUCCUUAGCACCA